AUUGAACGCUGGCGGCAGGCUUAACACAUGCAAGUCGAGCGGGGUGAUGGUGCUUGCACUAUCACUUAGCGGCGGACGGGUGAGUAAUGCUUAGGAAUCUGCCUAUUAGUGGGGGACAACAUCUCGAAAGGGAUGCUAAUACCGCAUACGUCCUACGGGAGAAAGCAGGGGAUCACUUGUGACCUUGCGCUAAUAGAUGAGCCUAAGUCGGAUUAGCUAGUUGGUGGGGUAAAGGCCUACCAAGGCGACGAUCUGUAGCGGGUCUGAGAGGAUGAUCCGCCACACUGGGACUGAGACACGGCCCAGACUCCUACGGGAGGCAGCAGUGGGGAAUAUUGGACAAUGGGGGGAACCCUGAUCCAGCCAUGCCGCGUGUGUGAAGAAGGCCUUAUGGUUGUAAAGCACUUUAAGCGUGGAGGAGGCUACUCUGGUUAAUACCUAAGAUUAGUGGACGUUACUCGCAGAAUAAGCACCGGCUAACUCUGUGCCAGCAGCCGCGGUAA
rnacentral:rRNA from 1 species